AAAGACAAAACACUUAACGAGCCAAACAUUAACGAAAACCAAGAGGAGGCAUCAGGUGAGGAGGUGGGGUUGCUAAUAGGUAAAUGUUCAUCCUGAAGCAGGAACUACAACUUGUUUGAUAAUCCAUGACACAAUAUAACACUUUCGGAGUGCAUCGACAGACACCAUGGUCUCCACUAAAGAUCAAAUCUGGAUCUUUCACACUAAAAAGUACAACCCACAAUCACUAAAACCAAAGUAGUAGCUUUAGCUGUGAGCAAGGAGGUUUCUGCUAAAGUUUCUAGGGGCCCAGAGAGUAAUGAGAGACAUGACUCAUCCAAACUCUAGCAAACAGAGGGAUACAAUCACAAGUCAGCACUACAGUUUCCCAAGAGAGUGUUAUGUUCCCAUUUAGGAUGAUUAUAGCUCUGGUUGUGGUGACAAGGUGAUAACACGGGGGUGGCUGUGACAGCACAGCUGUUUGUAUUGCUGCCCGACUGGGAUGCCUGCUUCACUGUGGUGAUGGUAUGAGAUGGCAGGGAAAUGAUUUGGAAACAAGAAGCUGAAGUGAGAGACCAUGUGAUUGUUACACUGGCUCUGGCCACAGGUGAAGAUGGUGUAGACAAGAAGCAAUGCAAACCCAAGGACAGCGCUGAGCAUGAGAGCACACAGGAGGAGGCUCUUCCCCCGAAGUGAAGACAGCCCCAGGGAAGGGAUGGAAAAGGAGGAAGGAGAAUUUGUAUGGCUUACAAACAGAGAGUGGGUACGUUUUUCUUUCAUGUACUACUCCUUCACUCCCUCCAAGACCAUCCCCUGUGAUCCCUCCUUCCCACUGUAAUAUGUUUCUCUCU